UCCCAUCAGCCUGAUACGGGCCUGCACCAAAAUUCACCCAGCAUAUUUACUGGGGACUUCCCACCGAGAGACACCGAGCAGCCGAGGACUAUUUAAAGGCACCGGAGCUGCAGUGUGCAUACACCCAGAGAUGAGGAGAAAUUAAGGGGGGGGGGACUGAUAGGCCGGUUCUGCUAAUGGAGACUUUCACUUAUUUCACCUGGCACGCGUUCUGCAAGAAGACGAUGUGAAGAUAAAUAUGAAGAUUUCGAUGAAAGGAAGCGGCUGAAUGGAUCAUAACCCAGGAUUUCUUUUAACAACCAUCCGCAGAGGAAAAGUUUGGCUGGAGGCGAGGAAAUACACAUUCAGGAGUUCACCGACAAACAAACGGAUGCAAUUAAACACACUCGCCUUCAGAACAUCAAUGAGGAGGCAAAGUCAAGACUGGUGGAAAAACCAACAAGGACAAAUGUAAGACGGAAGAAGACUCUGCUGCUUCAAGGUUACACUUGAACUGUGUUAAGAGCCCAACUUCACACAAUCUGGAUAGUUCUUACUUCUUCUACAAACAUACAUCACAAGCUGUUUUUUUGAUAUAACUCUUAAUUGAUGUUAUUUUUUGGGAUAUUUGCUAAAA